CCAGACUCCUACGGGAGGCAGCAGUGGGGAAUAUUGCACAAUGGGGGAAACCCUGAUGCAGCGACGCCGCGUGAGCGAAGAAGUAUUUCGGUAUGUAAAGCUCUAUCAGCAGGAAAGAAAAUGACGGUACCUGACUAAGAAGCUCCGGCUAAAUACGUGCCAGCAGCCGCGGUAAUACGUAUGGAGCAAGCGUUAUCCGGAUUUACUGGGUGUAAAGGGAGCGCAGGCGGUCUGGCAAGUCUGAUGUGAAAGGCCGGGGCUCAACCCCGGGACUGCAUUGGAAACUGUCAGACUGGAGCGUCGGAGAGGUAAGCGGAAUUCCUAGUGUAGCGGUGAAAUGCGUAGAUAUUAGGAGGAACACCAGUGGCGAAGGCGGCUUACUGGACGAUGACUGACGCUGAGGCUCGAAAGCGUGGGGAGCAAACAGGAUUAGAUACCCCUGUAA
rnacentral:rRNA from 1 species